rnacentral:other from 1 species
CUAGCCCCGCCGGAAGUGCGUGGACUAAAGCGAAAGAGCCAACACCUAUCAUAUGGGAGCUUAGCUCCGGGCGCGGAUUGCAGGCCUCCUCCCGGCACGGCCGGGGAUGGAGGAAGCGAGAACCGUUCGGGCGGCCCCCACCGUGCGAAAGAGGGUUCUUUGCUACCCACGCCGCGGCGGGGUUUUC